rnacentral:rRNA from 1 species
GGUUAUAACCUCUCGAUUGACUUACCGCAGAGAAGCACGGGUAAUUCGUGCCAGCAGCCCCGUAAUAGGAGGGUGCCAGCGUAAUUGGAUUACUGGCGUAAAGCGCACGCAGGCGGUCUGUCAAGUUGGAUUUGAAAUCCCCCGGCUCAACCUGGGAACUGCAUUCGAAACUGGCAGGCUAGAGUCUUGUAGAGGGGGGUAGAAUUCCAGGUGUAGCGAUGAAAUGCGUAGAGAUCUGGAGGAAUACCGGUGGCGAAGGCGGCCCCCUGGACAAAGACUGACGCUCAGGUGCGAAAGCGUGGGGAGCAAACAGGAUUAGAUACCCUGGUAGUCCACGCUGUAAACGAUGUCGAUUUGGAGGUUGUGCCCAUGAGGCGUGGCUUCCGGAGCUAACGCGUUAAAUCGACCGCCUGGGGAGUACGGCCGCAAGGUUAAAACUCAAAUGAAUUGACGGGGGCCCGCACAAGCGGUGGAGCAUGUGGUUUAAUUCGAUGCAACGCGAAGAACCUUACCUGGUCUUGACAUCCACAGAACUUUCCAGAGAUGGAUUGGUGCCUUCGGGAACUGUGAGACAGGUGCUGCAUGGCUGUCGUCAGCUCGUGUUGUGAAAUGUUGGGUUAAGUCCCGCAACGAGCGCAACCCUUAUCCUUUGUUGCCAGCGGUUAGGCCGGGAACUCAAAGGAGACUGCCAGUGAUAAACUGGAGGAAGGUGGGGAUGACGUCAAGUCAUCAUGGCCCUUACGACCAGGGCUACACACGUGCUACAAUGGCAUAUACAAAGAGAAGCGACCUCGCGAGAGCAAGCGGACCUCAUAAAGUAUGUCGUAGUCCGGAUUGGAGUCUGCAACUCGACUCCAUGAAGUCGGAAUCGCUAGUAAUCGUAGAUCAGAAUGCUACGGUGAAUACGUUCCCGGGCCUUGUACACACCGCCCGUCACACCAUGGGAGUGGGUUGCAAAAGAAGUAGGUAGCUUAACCUUCGGGAGGGCGGUU